AGAUGAAGCUGUUAACAAAAUAAGAUUAGAUACGGAGGAACAACUAAAAGAAAAAUUUCCAGAAGCCGAUCCAUAUGAAAUAAUAGAAUCCUUCAAUGUUGUUGCAAAGGAAGUUUUUAGAAGUAUUGUUUUGAAUGAAUACAAAAGGUGCGAUGGUCGGGAUUUGACUUCACUUAGGAAUGUAAGUUGUGAGGUAGAUAUGUUUAAAACCCUUCAUGGAUCAGCAUUAUUUCAAAGAGGACAAACACAGGUGCUUUGUACCGUUACAUUUGAUUCAUUAGAAUCUGGUAUUAAGUCAGAUCAAGUUAUAACAGCUAUAAAUGGGAUAAAAGAUAAAAAUUUCAUGCUGCACUACGAGGUGCUCUUGCUGAGAAAGCUUUGUAUCCUGUUAUUCCCCGAGAUUUUCCUUUCACCAUAAGAGUUACAUCUGAAGUCCUAGAGUCAAAUGGGUCAUCUUCUAUGGCAUCUGCAUGUGGCGGAAGUUUAGCAUUAAUGGAUUCAGGGGUUCCAAUUUCAUCUGCUGUUGCAGGCGUAGCAAUAGGAUUGGUCACCAAA
rnacentral:lncRNA from 1 species